AUUGAACGCUGGCGGCAUGCCUUACACAUGCAAGUCGAACGGUAACAGGUUAAGCUGACGAGUGGCGAACGGGUGAGUAAUGUAUCGGAACGUGCCCAGUCGUGGGGGAUAACUACUCGAAAGAGUGGCUAAUACCGCAUACGACCUGAGGGUGAAAGCGGGGGACCGUAAGGCCUCGCGCGAUUGGAGCGGCCGAUAUCAGAUUAGCUAGUUGGUGGGGUAAAAGCCCACCAAGGCGACGAUCUGUAGCUGGUCUGAGAGGACGACCAGCCACACUGGGACUGAGACACGGCCCAGGCUCCUACGGGAGGCAGCAGUGGGGAAUUUUGGACAAUGGACGCAAGUCUGAUCCAGCCAUGCCGCGUGCGGGAAGAAGGCCUUCGGGUUGUAAACCGCUUUUGUCAGGGAAGAAACGAGUUUCUCUAAUACAGAGACUUAAUGACGGUACCUGAAGAAUAAGCACCGGCUAACUCUGUGCCAGCAGCCGCAGUAAUAC
rnacentral:rRNA from 1 species